CACUCCACUUCCGCCACUGCCGCCGCCCGCCCGCCAGCCCGCUGCCGCCGCCGCUGCUACUACUACUACUCCAGUCCCCUUGCCCGCUGCCAGUAUCCCUCGUCGCUGCUCGUGCCACCGCCGUCGCCACGGCACAGGGACGUAGCUGUAGCCCGGGCCAGCGGCUUCAGUAGAGCAAGAACAGGCUCCCUUCCAACGGCGGCGGCAACGACUGCUCCUCCUCCUCCUCCUCUCUUCAGCCUCUACCUCGCUCCCUCCUCUUCCUUCUCCUCCUUCUCCUGCCGCCGCCGCCGCCGCUGCCGCUGCCCUGGGUGGGGGGAAAGUGAGAAGACCUCAACUUCGGGCGUCGUCGGGCUUCUCGCGAAGGAGACCAAAGGAAGGCGUUGGGUGGCUUUCCUUCCAACCUUCUUCCCCUUUCCCGGGAGAAUCUUAGAGGCCCGGAAGGAUGAAGGAUGAAGGAGAUAGGAUGGGAUCUGUGUCCCGGCUUCUCCCCAGAUUUAGGGAACGCUGCUGGUGGGUGGCCACUUUUUGGAUACCCCCGCGAUUCGAUUGGAUUUUCAGGUGAUCUCCUCGCGACCAGGUGGAUGUGCCAUUUUAAAAAAAUUUGACAGAGCUUACUUAUGAUUAUGCAUCUAUAUGUAUAUAUACACACCUUUUGUUUUGGUGGAAUAAUAGAACCUAACAAACCGAAGGAAGCUCCAGCGCUGGAUACUGAAAUACUUCUUGGUAUUUGUUUGCCUCUGGAAAUACACCAAUUUCUCCAGUUGUCUACCAUUCUUUUCAAAUGUUGUUUUCCCCCCCUACUACUGGGGGGAAAGGGCUUGUGGGCUAUACCAGAGAAGUAAGAAAAUUUUCAGAUGUCUAUCUCCUUUUCUUCCACCUGGACGUAACUGGACAUGUUAGCUCCAUGUGCAUUAAGGUAUUUUGUGCUACAUUAUACACCCCUUUCAGGGCUAGAUGGAGCUGUUGUGUCCUGGCAGGGGGGGAGGAGGGAGGGAGAAGGAUAGAGUGAGAAAGGGGGAGAUGCCUUCCUGAGGAGAAGCUGUCGCUGCCUUGGAGCCUGCAGUGAGAUGCUGCUUCAAUUUUAUGUUGCUAUUGUCCGCAACACAAUGUCUGUGAUGCAACAGGUUUUAAACUCCUUUUCUGAAGUUAACCCUGAGAAAGAAUCCGUUCAAGACUAGAGGAUUAAAUCGUUGUUAGUUAACUGGAUUACUCUUUAGAUUUCUUUUUAAGGCUGUACCUUGUUUCCAGUUCUUUAAUUGUAACAAAUGAAGUAAAACUCCCAUAACUUGAACAAUCCUUCCUCCCCUUUUCUCUUCCUGUUUCCUUGAGAGAUACUUAUUAACAAUGCUUUUCAAUUUAUUUGUUCAGAGGGAGAAAAAAAUCUUUCCUUCAAAAGUAGUACAAUAGUUGAAUUUGAAUUGACUUUAAACUUUGACAUGUUUUAU
rnacentral:lncRNA from 1 species